AGCGAACGCUGGCGGCGUGCUUAACACAUGCAAGUCGAACGUGAACGGAGCAAUCCUAGUAAAGUGGCGUACGGGUGAGUAACACGUAGAUAAUCUACCCUAGAGUUCGGAAUAACCUGCCGAAAGGCGGGCUAAUACUGGAUAGAGCGACGGAAGCCGUAAACGGUUUUUUCGGGAAAGGGAGCUUGAUAAGAGCCCUC
rnacentral:rRNA from 1 species